rnacentral:rRNA from 1 species
CCUACGGGAGGCAGCAGUGGGGAAUAUUUCACAAUGGGGGAAACCCUGAUGCAGCGACGCCGCGUGAGGGAAGGAGUAAUUCGGUAUGUAAAGCUCUAGCAGCAGGGAAGCAAAUGACAGUACCUGAAUCAGAAGCCGCGGCUAACUACGUGCCAGCAGCCGCGGUAAUACGAAGGGGGCAAGCGUUAUCCGGAUUUACUGGGUGUAAAGGGAGCGUAGACGGCAGUGCAAGUCUGGAGUGAAAGGCGGGGGCUCAACCCCCGGACUGCUCUGGAAACUGUACGGCUGGAGUGCAGGAGAGGUAAGUGGAAUUCCUAGUGUAGCGGUGAAAUGCGUAGAUAUUAGGAGGAACACCAGUGGCGAAGGCGGCUUACUGGACUGUAACUGACGGUGAGGCUCGAAAGCGUGGGGAGCAAACAGGAUUAGAUACCCCUGUAGUC